AUUGGUGUGGUUGUUGCUGGCCCUCUCGGGGGCAUGUGCACACCCACCAUCCUCAUCUCUCCACCUGUGCACCUCUUGUAGACCUGGAUUGACUUUCCGAGGCAACUCGGUCGGGAAGAUUGCUGCGCUCUGUGAGCCAGCUUUCUUUGCAUGUCCAGGCCUAUGUUUUUCAUAUACCCCUAUAGAAUGUAACAGAAUGUAUCAUUGGGCCUUGUGCCUAUAAACCUUAUACAACUUUCAGCAACGGAUCUCUUGGCUCUCGCAUCGAUGAAGAACGCAGCGAAAUGCGAUAAGUAAUGUGAAUUGCAGAAUUCAGUGAAUCAUCGAAUCUUUGAACGCACCUUGCGCUCCUUGGUAUUCCGAGGAGCAUGCCUGUUUGAGUGUCAUUAAAUUCUCAACCUUAUUAACUUUUGUUGAUAAUGGAUUGGAUUGUGGGGGUUUCUUUUGCUGGCUUCUUCACAGAGAUCAGCUCCCCUUAAAUGCAUUAGCUGGUGCCCCGCGUGGACCAUCUAUUGGUGUGAUAAUUAUCUACGCCGUGGAUGUCUGCAAUCAUAUGGGUUUCGCACUGCUUCUAACCGUCUGUUCAUUCGGACAAUACAUGACAAUUUGACCUCAAAUCAGGUAGGACUACCCGCUGAACUUAAGCAUAUCAAUAAGCGGAGGAAAAGAAACUAACAAGGAUUCCCCUAGUAACUGCGAGUGAAGCGGGAAAAGCUCANAUUUAAAAUCUGGCGGUCUCCGGCCGUCCGAG
rnacentral:rRNA from 1 species